rnacentral:rRNA from 1 species
GACGAACGCUGGCGGCGUGCUUAACACAUGCAAGUCGAACGGAAAGGCCCUGCUUUUGGGGGGUACUCGAGUGGCGAACGGGUGAGUCACACGUGAGUAACCUGCCCUUGACUUUGGUAUAACUUCAGGAAACUGGGGCUAAUACCGGAUAGGAUCUCCUGCCGCAUGGUGGGGGUUGGAAAGUUUCGGCGGUUGGGGAUGGACUCGCGGCUUAUCAGCUUGUUGGUGGGGUAAUGGCUUACCAAGGCUUUGACGGGUAGCCGGCCUGAGAGGGUGACCGGCCCCAAUGGGACUGAGACACGGCCCAGACUCCUACGGGGGGCAGCAGUGGGGAAAAUUGCACAAUGGGCGGAAGCCUGAUGCAGCAAACCCGCGUGAGGGAUGACGGCCUUCGGGGUUUAAACCCCUUUUAGUAGGGGAGAAGCGAAAGUGACGGGAAAUGGAGAAAAAGCACCGGCUAAAUACGUG